AACACCGCUGGACAGGGACGGUCUCGAGGGUUGGGGAGCCCAGCGACAGAUCGCACUCCUGAGAUAGCACCGGGUCAUAGGGAGCCCGGGGCGAUCGUUCUGGCGAAGGAG
ncrna:unclassified sequences Actinomyces-1 RNA